rnacentral:rRNA from 1 species
AUUGAACGCUGGCGGCAUGCCUUACACAUGCAAGUCGAACGGUAACGGGCCUUCGGGUGCCGACGAGUGGCGAACGGGGGAGUAAUACAUCGGAACGUGCCCGAUCGUGGGGGAUAACGAGGCGAAAGCUUUGCUAAUACCGCAUACGAUCUACGGAUGAAAGCAGGGGACCGCAAGGCCUUGCGCGGGCGGAGCGGCCGAUGGCAGAUUAGGUAGUUGGUGGGAUAAAAGCUUACCAAGCCGACGAUUUGUAGCUGGACUGAGAGGAUGAUCAGCCACACUGGAACUGAGACACGGCCCAGACUCCUACGGGAGGCAGCAGUGGGGAAUUUUGGACAAUGGGCGCAAGCCUGAUCCAGCCAUGCCGCGUGAAGGAUGAAGGCCUUCGGGUUGUAAACUGCUUUUGUACGGAACGAAAAGCCUUCUUUUAAUACAGGAGGGUCAUGACGGUACCGUAAGAAUAAGCACCGGCUAACUACGUG